UUAGGAAUUUUGGGCAAUGGGCGCAAGCCUGACCCAGCAACGCCGCGUGCGGGAAGAAGGCCUUCGGGUCGUAAACCGCUUUUCUGAGGGAAGAUGAUGACGGUACCUCAGGAAGAAGCACCGGCUAACUACGUGCCAGCAGCCGCGGUAAUACGUAGGGUGCAAGCGUUGCCCGGAUUUAUUGGGCGUAAAGAGCGCGCAGGCGGCUCGAUGCGUCCCGUGUGAAAUCCCCCGGCUCAACUGGGGGCGGCCACGGGAGACGGUCGGGCUGGAGCGAGGGAGAGGGUCGUGGAAUUCCCGGAGUAGUGGUGAAAUGCGUAGAUAUCGGGAAGAACACCAGUGGCGAAGGCGACGACCUGGACCUCUGCUGACGCUGAGGCGCGAAAGCGUGGGGAGCGAUCCG
rnacentral:rRNA from 1 species